rnacentral:rRNA from 1 species
UACGUAGGUGGCAAGCGUUGUCCGGAAUUAUUGGGCGUAAAGCGCGCGCAGGUGGUUUUCUUAAGUCUGAUGUGAAAGCCCACGGCUCAACCGUGGAGGGUCAUUGGAAACUGGGGGAACUUGAGUGCAGGAGAGAAGAGUGGAAUUCCACGUGUAGCGGUGAAAUGCGUAGAGAUGUGGAGGAACACCGGUGGCGAAGGCGGCCCUCUGGGACGGAUACUGACGCUGAGGCGCGAAAGCGUGGGGAUCAAACAGG